ACAGAAGCUCGGAUCGUAAACAAAGUACGUGUCUCGGUACGAGAAUAGCCCGUGGAAUGCCGGAUAUUGCAGCCGACCGCCGUCGCGAUGUAGGCACAGGUAGCCAGGAGUGAGGACUCACAGCAUUCUUACACUCGAUGCUCUCUAACUGAACGUUUCUCUCCCAGUGUCAGUGCGAAUUCAGCCGACGGUUCGCGCGUACGCAUCCGACACACCCGACUUAUUAGCGUAACGAAAUUACACACGAGAAAGAAAAAAAAAACAUUAAAUUCCAAACGAAUUAUUUUGUGGUUUUCCGAGGCAGUGGAGUUGUUUCUGAUUAAACAUAGAAGUGAAUCACUGUAGCGAUGAAAGUUUUAACUGUUGGAGACAAAGUUGCUAGUGUCGGUCGAGAGAAUGAGCCCACCGUUGUGGUCGACACGCAAAAGUUAAUUAGAGAAGAAUUGAACAGGGGCUGUCCAUUGGGCGUGUCGAGGGUCACGAAUCUAGUCUACGUGUGUGGAGCUCACGCUCUACCUGGAGCCGUCAGGGUUUUGCAUCCUGGAUUGAUCGUCAGCGCGGCGCCAGAACUGCCUCCGCCGCCCGAAGAUUACGUACCGAGGCAUUUCGUACCCCUGUUGGACACUCCGAACUCAGAUAUGCUCCCCUAUAUGGAUAGGGUUGCUGACCUUAUUAAUGAGGUGGUCACAAACGGAGGGGUGGUGUUGAUUCAUUGCGUCGCCGGAGUGUCCAGAUCAGUGACACUCUGUCUGGCUUACUUGGUCAAAUGGCAGAAGAUGACUCUCCGUGACGCCUACCACUACUUGAAGAUAAGACGACCACAAAUUCGACCGAACACGGGUUUCUUCAAGCAGCUCAUCAAAUUCGAAGAAAGACUGUUCAGCGAAGCAACAGUCAAGAUGGUUUAUUGCGAAGCCAUCGACAAAGAGAUCCCUGAUGUAUACGAGCCUGAUUACAGCGGAAUGACAUGGUUCAGGCAACGAUACGGACCUAUCGAAAAAUGCUGAAAUAUCAAAAGGAUAUCAUUAACGCAUGCAGAAUAUAUUGUAAGGUUAUAACGGAAUUCAAUUAUGUCAUCCCAAAGAGGCUUCAUGAAUUUUUUGUGACAUUUUAGUUCCGGUAUUACCUUAUAACUAUCUAUGGAAUAUGGCUUAAAGGUCUAGAUAGGCCAUAAACUCAAAAAAAAAAACUAUCUAUGGAACGCGUUAUUUAAAUACAUAUUCGAAUUGCGAAAAUGAGAGCUGUGAUUUGCGCGGGAAGUAAUAUAAGACUGAGCGAAUGAAUGAGCUUUGAAUGGUGGAAUGGUUUUAAAAUGAACGAGUGAAGGAAGAUUGAUGAGUGAAUGGAUUGAAUGUGCUGUAAAAAUUUCUAUCGGACACAUACUUUGAAUUGAAGAAAACACGGCUGUUGUGAAAAUGAAAAUGUUAUUGUUGCUUUAAAUAUCAUGCACUAUGCACUUAUAAAGCCUAAAUAUUUUAGGAACGCUCAGAAUCUGUACUUGUCUGAACUUAGCUAUACUCGUAAGGUAGAAAUGAAAUAGUUAUUAUUAUCGUUUUAAAUUAUGAAAAUAUGUUAACACAUUAAAAUGUUAUAAUAUUGAUAUUAUAAAUAUGUACCGCGUUAUGCUACUCCGUGUUAAAGUUUUUAUCUUGGAUUCAUAUUUCGAAAAUUUUUAAAACUUUUUUAUUAAAGAAACAGUAAGUUUCUUCUGUUAUAAGAAGCAUUAAUUCUCGGGAGAAAAAGCGUAUCGACAAUGUAUUAAUAAGAGGUUGUACGCUUGUGCGAAGUAGAGACAAAUUACAGUAAUUAAUGAUUCUAUGUUGCAUGGUUGAUCUCCAGCUGUAAAAACUGUUUUUUGAAAAUUUGCUCCAAAUUAGAAAGUUAUAUCUUAAUCUCUAGUACUUUCUUCGGUUUCCGCGAUUAUUAAUUUAAAUAAGUAAAAUUAAUUAAAAUUAGUUUUACGUUUUAAUCCAAAUUUUGUAUUGGUUACACAUUAUUUACUUCGUGGUCGCAGAUGCUGUCGUAAAAGUCAUUAUACGAUAAUUAUCUAAUCCUUUGUUAACUAUAUAUUAUUUAGUUUGUAAUGUGAUAUCGAUUUAAUUAAGAAAAAUAGUUUUAAAUAUAAUCUUAUGUAUCGAUUGUAACUUUUCGAUGAAAAUUGUGUAACGGGACCAAAAAUAAAUGAA